UAGCCAGACUCCUACGGGAGGCAGCAGUGGGGAAUAUUGGGCAAUGGGCGCAAGCCUGACCCAGCAACGCCGCGUGAAGGAAGAAGGCUUUCGGGUUGUAAACUUCUUUUGACAGGGAAGAGUAGAAGACGGUACCUGUCGAAUAAGCCACGGCUAACUACGUGCCAGCAGCCGCGGUAAUACGUAGGUGGCAAGCGUUGUCCGGAUUUACUGGGUGUAAAGGGAGCGUAGGCCGGUCUUUAAGCGUGCCGUGAAAUUUUGUGGCUCAACCAUGGGAGUGCGGCGCGAACUGGAGACCUUGAGUGCGCGGAAGGCAGGCGGAAUUCGUGGUGUAGCGGUGAAAUGCUUAGAUAUCACGAAGAACCCCGAUUGCGAAGGCAGCCUGCCGCAGCGUUACUGACGCUGAAGCUCGAAAGCGCGGGUAUCGAACAGGAUUAGAUACCCCGGUACAA
rnacentral:rRNA from 1 species